rnacentral:rRNA from 1 species
UAAGAGGUCCAGCCUGCCCAGUGACUCUAGUUCAACGGCCGCGGUAUCCUGACCGUGCGAAGGUAGCGUAAUCACUUGUCUUUUAAAUUGAGACUAGUAUGAAAGGCACCACGAGAAUUAAACUGUCUCCUUUUUCUAAUCUGUGAAACUGAUCCCCCCGUGAAGAAGCGGGGAUUUUGAUAUAAGACGAGAAGACCCUAUGGAGCUUCAGACAAAUAACAAUGCCCUCCCUUUUUUUUCUAAAAAAUACCCGAGCAUCUUAAUUAUUUAGUCUUAGGUUGGGGCGACCAUGGAGUAAAAAUCACCCUCCAUGCUGAACAGGACCUCCUUAAAUAAGAGUAACAACUCUAAGAAUCAAUAAAUUGACACAUUUGACCCAAUUACUUGAUCAACGAAACAAGUUACCCUAGG